UACAAAUAAAUAAUAUUUAAUAAAUUUUACAUAUUUUAUUUUUAUUUUAUACAUUUUAUUUUUUAUUUAUAAAAACAAGUUUGGCAAUUUAGACAUCAUAGAAUUUACAUCACAUUUUCUUAAUAAGUUUAUCUAUCUUGUCAUUCUUCAACUAUCUUUUGAUUCAUUAUGUUAGAAAUAAAGGAAAAUUUAUUUUGGCUUUAAAAAAAUGUGCCUUUUAUAAGUAAAAAUAUUAUCUCAUUUAUUUUCUAUAAUGUUAUUUUCAUAUUUGGUCUCAAUUCAAAUGAUUUUUAUAAACGGAUUAUUUGAUAAUUCAUUUUAUUUUUUCUAAGGGGCUAUCUUUCAAAUAUACAGCUAAAUUUUUUGUGGUAUGGAGUAAAAUGUUAGAAAAUUUUAUUUUUAAUGGAAUUUUUUACGAAACGCCCGAGUACGAUAGUUCCAACUUCCAAGUAAUGCCUUAAUUAGAUCUUUGGUAAAGCACAAUUUGUAAUACACUAGGACAUUUCUUCCAUUCAAUCAUUGCCGCUACGUUUGCUUCUCUUAUUCUUCUCGUGAGCUACUUCCAAGUCCGAUGCUUCUGAAAACCAUCAUAGGUCUCUGUCUAUUCAAUGGAUCCAAGGAUCAGAUAUGGAGCGUUUGAUCUUGCGAAUUUCGGACGAAUUUGGUAGAGUUUUGUGCAACAACGAAGAAAGGAUAGUAGAUGCUAUCAACUUUGAUCUCCUUGCAUUCUAACGAGCAUAACUUGAGCUACAGAGGUUCAAUUGACGCGGUCUUAACGGCGUUAGAAAGCUAACUUCCAGAGCUUUUCAACGAUAUGUAAUAGUCUAUACCUUUUUUUUUUCUGGAAUCACUGACAAAUCAGGCGCUAAACGUCGAGUCUGGCGUUUAGCGUCCAAGAGGGACAGAACCAGCGCCAGAACUUUCCCUUCCCGGUGCUGAACGCCCACCAAAACGCUAGGACUACCCACUCUCGGCGCUGAACGCCCAUUUUGGCGCUGAACGCCAGCAAGAGAGCCAGAAUUAGCAUCGUUACACUCCCCUUUGAGCGUUUAACGCUCAUUAUUGGCGUUAAACGCUAGCAGCAGUCCGAAUCACCCCUUUUUUGGGCCUCUCAAGUGGAUUUAGCACUUCUUAAUCUAUUUUGUUUUCUUUUAGAAAUUUUUAUUUAAAAACUAUCUUUUUUUAGGGCUAGCAUUUAUUAUUAGGCUAGUAUUUAAGGAAUAAGAUGCUACCUUUCGUACUUUUUCGGAACCCUAUUUUCUUUGUAAGUUAUGAGUAACUAAACUUUCUGGUUAAGGUUAGGAGCUCUGUUUAUUUCUAUGGAUUAAUAU